rnacentral:rRNA from 1 species
UGGCAUGGGCGAAGCCUGAUGCAGCGACGCCGCGUGAGGGAUGACGGCCUUCGGGUUGUAAACCUCUUUCAGUAGGGAAGAAGCGAAAGUGACGGUACCUGCAGAAGAAGCGCCGGCUAACUACGUGCCAGCAGCCGCGGUAAUACGUAGGGCGCAAGCGUUAUCCGGAAUUAUUGGGCGUAAAGAGCUCGUAGGCGGUUUGUCGCGUCUGCCGUGAAAGUCCGGGGCUCAACUCCGGAUCUGCGGUGGGUACGGGCAGACUAGAGUGAUGUAGGGGAGACUGGAAUUCCUGGUGUAGCGGUGAAAUGCGCAGAUAUCAGGAGGAACACCGAUGGCGAAGGCAGGUCUCUGGGCAUUAACUGACGCUGAGGAGCGAAAGCAUGGGGAGCGAACAGGAUUAGAUACCCUGGUAGUCCAUGCCGUAAACGUUGGGCACUAGGUGUGGGGGACAUUCCACGUUUUCCGCGCCGUAGCUAACGCAUUAAGUGCCCCGCCUGGGGAGUACGGCCGCAAGGCUAAAACUCAAAUGAAAUUGACGG